rnacentral:misc_RNA from 1 species
GCCAAAUUUUCUUUUCCCUUUGGGAAAGCUAUAUCACCAGCGGCAGUGCCUGAUCGACCCUUUCGGCCAGAUAUUGCAGUCUCCACAUCCUUGAUUAAUUCAAGCAGCGUUGCUGCAGUAGUGCAUUCCCUCCUCCUUGGUUUGGCAGCAGGGAGCAACAUUCCAUUCGUUACAGGUGGGCUUGACCUACGCUGAUAUGCUGCAGA